GGAGACCCUUAGGAAACUAGGGGGUGCUUCCAUCUGGAAGAAUCUGGAGACAGGUGCUGCAUGGCUGUCGUCAGCUCGUGUCGUGAGAUGUUGGGUUAAGUCCCGCAACGAGCGCAACCCUUGCCUUUAGUUGCCAGCAGUUCGGCUGGGCACUCUAAAGGGACUGCCGGUGUUAAACCGGAGGAAGGUGGGGAUGACGUCAAGUCCUCAUGGCCUUUAUGACCAGGGCUACACACGUACUACAAUGGCCGAUACAAAGGGCAGCGACACUGCGAGGUGAAGCCAAUCCCGUAAAAUCGGUCUCAGUCCGGAUUGGAGUCUGCAACUCGACUCCAUGAAGUUGGAAUCGCUAGUAAUCGUGGAUCAGCAUGCCACGGUGAAUACGUUCCCGGGCCUU
rnacentral:rRNA from 1 species